GUUGCCGCGAGGCAGGUGCUGACGGAUGCCCAAUCCAAAAUGACGGGAUGAUGUACACGAACCAGAUCUGAGGUGUGAUACAGCUGGGGCGAGCGGGCACGUGACCGCAAAGCCUUCCAUCUGCGAUUAGGCUGUAUUUCAUAAAUCUGGCAUCUACGUCAGGAAAGCUACGUGU
rfam:Nitrincola nitratireducens strain AK23 contig000007, whole genome shotgun sequence.